ACCUGUGCAGCAGUGAGUAAGGGUUAUCGGGUAGGGAUUAUUGUGGGGCUCAUCCAUUUGCCCUCACUUACCCUUCCACUCCCUUCCCGCCAGACCUCGCAUCCCUGAACCUCAACAGUGGCUCCAGUGGAGCCUCAGAUCAGGACACACUGGCCCCACUGCCCCACCCAUCUGUACCCUGGCCCUUGGGUCAAGGCUAUCCCUACCAGUACCCAGGACCCCCGCCCUGCUUCCCACCUGCUUACCAGGACCCUGGCUUCAGCUAUGGCAGUGGCAGUGCUGGGAGUCAGCAGAGUGAAGGGAGCAAGAGCAGUGGGUCCACAAGGAGCAGCCAUCGGACCCCAGGCCGAGAGGAGCGCCGGGCAACUGGAGCUGGGGGUAGUGGCAGUGAAUCAGACCACACAGUACCAAGUGGGUCUGGUAGCACUGGCUGGUGGGAGCGGCCUGUCAGCCAGCUUAGCCGUGGCA
rnacentral:lncRNA from 1 species